rnacentral:lncRNA from 10 species
CCAGAGCCCAUUGAAGUCUCUAGUUAAAUACUGAAUAUCCCAUGAUAAGAAAAAGAAACAAGCUAUCUGUGAAAAUGCUUUGCAAUGUGUGGAUUCAUCUCACAGUGUAAAACCUUUAUUUUAAGUCAGCAAGUUGGAAACACACUUUUUAUAGAAUCUACAAAGGAACAUUUCAUAGCCCAUUGAGGCCUACAGUGAAAAACCAAAUAUCCUGUGAUAAAAACUAGAAACAAGCUAUUUGUGAAAAAGCAUUGUGAUCUGUGGAUUUCUUUCACAGCGUUUAAUAUUUGUUAUUAUACAGUACAUUGGAAGCAAAUAUUUAGUAGAAUAAGAGGAGUCUUUUUUGAGCCCAUUAAGGCCUGUAGUGAAAAACUGAAUAUCCCAUGAUUAAAACUAGAAACUGGCUAUCUGUAAAUAUGCUUUGUGAUAUAUGGAUGUAUCUCACAUAGUUAAAUUUUGAUUUUUAUUCAGAAGGUUGGAGACACAUAUGUUUUACUAUCUGCUUGGCCACAAUUCAGUCUUUGAGGCCUAUAAUCAAAAACUGAAUAUCCCAUGAUAAAACUAAAAACAAUCUAUCUGUGAAAAUGCUUAGUGAUGUGAGGAUUCAUCUCAACAAGUUAAAUGUUUGUUUUGAUUCAGCAGGUUGGAAACACUCUCUUUGUAGAAUCUUUGAAGUGACAUUUCAGAGCCCAUUCAUUCCUAUAGUGAGAAAUGGAAUAUCCCAUGAUAAAAACUAAAAUGAACUACCUGUAAAAAUGUUUUGCAAUGCGUGUAUUUAUCUCAAAAAGUUAAACCUUUCUUUUGAUUCAGCAGGUUGGAAACACUCUUUUUGUAGAAUCUAUGAAGCAACAUUUUGGAGCCCAUUGAGGCCUAUAGUGAAAAAUCAAAUAUCCCGUGAUAAAAACUAGAGGCAAGCUAUCUGUGAAAAUGCAUGGCGAUAUGUAGAUUUGUCUUACAGAGUUAAAUGUUUGUUUUGAUUCAGCAGAUUGGAUAUGCUCUUUUUGUACAAUCUACCAGGGGAAAUAUCAGAGCUCAUUGAGGCCUAUAGUAAAAAAUCAAAUGUCCUGUAAUAAAAACUACAAAGAAGCUAUGUCUAAAAAUUCUUUACAAUGUGUGAUUUUAUCUCACAGAGUUUAACCUUUCUUGUAAUUCAGCAGGUUGGAAACCCUCUUUUUCUACAAUCUACUAGGGUACUAUUCGGACCAAAUUGAGGCCUAUACUGAAAAACUGAUUAUCCCGUGAUAAAAACUAGAAAAAAGCUGUCAGUAAAAAUGCUGUGCAAUAUGUGGAUUCAUGUCACAAAUUUAAACCUCUGCAUUUAUUCAGCAAGUUUGGAAUACCUUUUUGUAGAAUAUACAAAGGGAUGUUUCACACCUAUAAAAGCCUAUAGUAAAAAAGUUGGAUACACUCUUGUUGUAGAAUCUACAAAGAGACAUUUUGAAGUUCAUUGAGGUCUAUAGUGAAAAACCAAAUAUCCAGUGAUAGAAACUAUAAAGAAGCUAUCUCUGAAAAUACUUUAUGAUGUGUGAUUUCAUUUCACAAGUUGAACUUUUCUUUUGAUUCAACAGCAGGUUGGAAACACUCUUUUGUAAAAUCUACAAAGAAACAUUUUGGAGUCCAUUGAGGCCUAUAGUGAAAAACUGAAUAUUUCGCCUUGAAAACCAGAAACAAGCUAUCUGUGAAAAUGCUUUGUGAUGGAAGAUUUAUCUCACAGAGUUAAACGUUUGUAUUGAUUCAGCUGGCUGGCAACACUCUUUUUGUAAAAUCUACAAUGGGACAUUUCAGAGACCAUUGAAGUCUACAGAAAAAGACUGAAUAUCCCAUGAUUAAAACUAGAAACAAGCUAUCCAUCAAAAUGCUUUGUGAUGUUUGGAUUCACUUUACAGAGUGAAACAUUUAUUUGGAUUAAGUAGGUUGGAAACACUCUUUUUAUAGAAUCUACGAAUGGAUAUUUUAGAGCCCAGUGAAGCCUAUAAUGAGAAACCAAGCAUUCCAUGAUAAAAACUAGAAACAAGCUAUCUGUGAACAUGCUUUGAGAUCUGUGGAUUCAUCUCACAGGGCUAAACCAUUAUUUUGGUUCAGCAGGUAGGAUACACUGUUCUUCUAGAACCUAAGAAGGGACACUUCAGAGCUGAUUUAGGCCUACAGUAAAAAACCGCAUAUCCCAUGAUAAAAACUAGAAACAUGCUAUCUAUGUAAAUACUUUGUGAUGUGUAUAUUCAUGUCACAUAAUUAAACUUUUGUUUUUAUUAAAAAGGUUGAAAACACUGUUUUAGUAAAAUCUACUAAGUGCGGGUUGGAAACACUUUAUUUUUAGAAACUACAAAGGAACUUUUCGGAGCCAAAUGAGGCCUAUAGUGAAAAAAUGAAUAUCCCGUGAUAAAAACUAGAAACAAGCUAUCUGUAAAAAUUCUCUGAAAUAUGUGCAUUCAUCUCCCUGAGUUUAACUUUUGUUUUGAUUCAGGAGGUUUUAAAUACCUUUUUUGUAGAAUCUAGAAAGGGACAUUUCAAAGCACAUUGAGGCCUAUAGUGGAAAAAAAGCAUCCCACGAUAAAAAUUAGAAAAAAGCUAUCUGUGAAAAUGCUUUGUGAUGUGUUCAUUUAUUUCACAGAGUUAAACCCUUGUUUUGAUUCAGCAGGGUGGUAACACUUUUUUGCAGUAUCUACAAAGGGACAUUUCUUAGCCCAUUGCAGCCUAUAGUGAGAAACUGAAUAUCCCAUGAUAAAAACUAAAAACUAGUUAUAUUUGAAAAUACUUUAUGAUGCAUGCAUUUAUCUCACAGAGUUAAACAUUUGUUUUGAUUCAGCAGGUUGGAAACAAGCUUCUUGUGGUAUCUAUGAAGGGACACUUCAGAGCCCAUUGAGGCCUAUUGUGAAAAAAAUGAAUAUUUGCGAUAAAAAUUAGAAAGAUGCUACCUGUGGAAAUUCUUUGCAAUGUGUGGAUUCAUCUCACAGUGUUAAACCUUUCUUUUAAUUCAGUAGGUAGAAAACACUCAUUGAGUAAAAUCUAAGAAGGGACGUAUCAAAGCACAUUGAGGCCUAUAGUGAAAAUCUGAAUAUGCCACGAUAAAAACUAGAAACAGGCAAACUGUGGAAAUGCUUUUAGAUGUGCGGAUUCAUUUCACAGAGUUAAACCUUUGUCUUGAUCCAGCAGUUAGAAAACAUUCCUUUUGUAAAAUCUAUAAAGGGACAGUUCGAAGCCCAUUAAGGUAUAUUGUGAAAAACCGAAUAUCCUGCCAUUAAAACUAGAAACAAGCAAUGUGUGAAAAUGCUUUGCUAUGUGCAGAUUCCUUUCACAGAGUUAAACUUUGUUUUGAUUCAGAAGGUUGGAAACAUUCUUUUUGUAGAAUCUAGGAAGGGAUCAUUUAGAGCCCAUUGAGGCCUGUUGGGAA